rnacentral:rRNA from 1 species
GCCUACGGCCAUACCACCCUGAAAGCGCCCGAUCUUGUCUGAUCUCCGAAGCUAAGCAGGGUCGGGCUUGGUUAGUACCUGGAUGGGAGAACGCCUGGGAAUACCAGGUGUUGUAGGCU